AAUGAACGUUGGCGGCAUGGAUUAGGCAUGCAAGUCGCGCGAUAAGAUUCCUUCGGGAAUCCGAAAGCGGCGAAAGGGAGAGUAACGCGUAGAUGAUCUACCCCGAGGACUGGGAUAGCGGCGGGAAACUGCCGGUAAUACCAGAUGAUGUCUCCGGACCAAAGGUGUGAUUCCGCCUUGGGAUGAAUCUGCGUCCUAUUAGCUAGUUGGUGAGGUAACGGCUCACCAAGGCGAAGAUGGGUACCGGGUGUGAGAGCAUGACCCGGCUCACUGGGACUGAGACACUGCCCAGACACCUACGGGUGGCUGCAGUCGAGAAUCUUCGGCAAUGGGCGAAAGCCUGACCGAGCAAUGCCGCGUGCGGGAUGAA
rnacentral:rRNA from 1 species